rnacentral:misc_RNA from 1 species
AACGCACCUUGCGCUCCUUGGUUUUCCAAGGAGCAUGCCUGUUUGAGUGUCAUUAAAUUCUCAACUCUUCGAGCUUUGUGCUUUGAAGGGCUUGGAUUAUGGAGUGUGCUGGCGCAGGUUGGCUCCUCUUGAAUGCAUUAGUGGGUUUCUAUGCCACUACAGACGGUGUGAUAAUUAUCUACGCCUCAUCUGUUGCAUGGUGUUUGAAAUGAACCCUGCUUCCAACAGUCUUCGGACAGUUUAUCAUUGACUUUUGAUCUCAAAUCAGGUAGGAUUACCCGCUGAACUUAA